CCUACGGGUGGCAGCAGUGAGGAAUAUUGGUCAAUGGACGAGAGUCUGAACCAGCCAAGUAGCGUGAAGGAUGACUGCCCUAUGGGUUGUAAACUUCUUUUAUAAAGGAAUAAAACGAGGCACGUGUGCCUUUUUGCAUGUACUUUAUGAAUAAGGAUCGGCUAACUCCGUGCCAGCAGCCGCGGUAAUACGGAGGAUCCGAGCGUUAUCCGGAUUUAUUGGGUUUAAAGGGAACUUAGAUGGGUUGUUAAGUCAGUUGUGAAAGUUUGCGGCUCAACCGUAAAAUUGCAAUUGAUACUGGAAGUCUUGAGUACAGUUGAGGUAGGCGGAAUUCGUGGUGUAGCGGUGAAAUGCUUAGAUAUCACGAAGAACCCCGAUUGCGAAGGCAGCUUACUAAACUGUGACUGACAUUGAUGCUCGAAAGUGUGGGUAUCAAACAGGAUUAGAUACCCUAGUAGUC
rnacentral:rRNA from 1 species